GAACUAAUGGAUCUUCCCAACGCCGACAUCCUCGAACUGAAAGAGAUGGUGAGGGAUUUGUUCAGUGUUGUGCAAGGGCUUGCCUUGGGGCAGAAAGCCAUGGUCGAGAGAUUGGAAAAGAUUGAGAAGUGGAUGAUCAAGGAGAAAGUUUAGGGAAAAGCUCCGUCACCCGAGGUGACAAAUCCCUCUGACUCUGUAGCAAAGAAACCCUCUGGCAGUGGUCCGCUCGAGAAAGAGGUUGACUCAAGUGGUAUGCCAGCAAAGAAAGAAC
rnacentral:lncRNA from 1 species